rnacentral:rRNA from 1 species
UACGUAGGUGGCAAGCGUUGUUCGGAAUUAUUGGGCGUAAAGGGCGCGUAGGCGGUUUGUUAAGUCAGCUGUGAAAGCCCGGGGCUCAACCCCGGAGGGUCAGCUGAUACUGGCAGACUAGAGUACAGAAGAGGUAACUGGAAUUCCCGGUGUAGCGGUGAAAUGCGUAGAGAUCGGGAGGAACACCCGUGGCGAAGGCGGGUUGCUGGGCUGACACUGACGCUGAUGUGCGAAAGCUAGGGGAGCGAACGGG